rnacentral:lncRNA from 1 species
CUUCUGAGUCCAUCAGCCCUUCACCCGGGGGCAGGGAGCCAGCAGGCGGGAACACCAAGACCCACGGACCCUGCCAGCAGCUCCAGCCUCAGCCAUUCCGAAUGGGAAGGGAACCACCAUCCACGGAGGGGUGAGGUAGUUUGGGAAAAGCUAACUCAACAUCUUUUUAAAAAUCUUACCUUCGAGGACUGGCCCUCACUGACGACAUCUUGUGGGGGGAACAUUCCAGGGCCCUGUGUCCUGUCAUUUCACUUGGUUUCAUUUUUCUUGUUGGCCAGCCACUAUCUGGAGUGAUCUUAUGCAUUUCUGUGUUUAAUUGUUUACUGUCUGAUUGAGACCAGAAGACCCACUUUCUGGUUCUUUGUCCACAUUCAGUGCUUGACCUUGGAGGAGCGGUUGCUCUCUCUGCCCCAUAAUGCACCAGCCACAACCCAGGACCCUUCCGGCACGGUCCCCCAGGACCUGCCAGGUCUUCCCUCCAUUUCCACCACAUUCUCUUUCUUUGUUGCCUCCCCAAGGGAAGGAUGCUCGAAGCGGAUGAGCAUCCGUGGGUACCACGUUCGAGGGGGCUGGGUUCAACACUCGGAGAGGCAUCAACCCUCUAGUUAUCUCUCAGCCGACUGACUCCAGAGAAGGAAUCCUAAACACUCAGAAAGGAACUGGCAGGACAAGUAGAAAAUUUAAACCAGAACAUUGUGGGUGUGCUGUACCGUCCAGAACUUCCAAUCCCUAACUUCCACAAGCAAGAGGGGUACCAUCCCUGGUACAUGGGCCAGAGAAGAAUCUCAUAGAUGCAGAAAAAGACAGAGAGGCCAGGACAGAGAGAAAGGCGGGAGGGACAGACGGAGAGAGGAAGGGCGAGGUUCAGAUGGGAACAGAGACGACGGAGAGAGAACAACGCAGGGUUCGCGGGGCAAAGGAUCAGCUUUCAGAACUGAAAUCCACACAAACUCAUCUUUUCACUCGCCCUUCACUCCUGAGUUGUGGCCGAAGUGGACACCGCAGAGCCUGGCCUGCUUAGCUCCUGAGCCCAUGGAAAGGCUCUUCUUUUCCAUUGUGUUGUCUGGACUCACUUUGGCGGAAACAUGACUGACCUCACUUUCUAUUCAGCCCAACGAAAAGUGGCAGUCUUCGCUGCAGAGAGAAGGUCAAGAUGCCAUAACCCCAACGACGCCAGAAACUGUCACCGGACCAUCCGACUGCAGCCUUGACAACUUUGAAAUCAUCUCUGGAGGGAGAAGAAUGCAGGCUCCCUGACCCUUAUCCACAGCCCUGGUUUUCAAGCGAAACCUCUAAGAUCCCUUGCUGUCCCCUCUCAAGGGAGGACACAGGUUUGAGGUGUUAGUCUGUUGUGCCUCCUUUGCCUGGCAAAGCACUAAAGCCGUUCUUUCUGCUUCACCCCAAACUCUGUCUCCGAGACUGAAUCGGUGCCGGUGUACAGAGGCUGGCUUUCAGCUGCAUGGGGUGUUCAGAGCAACAGUCCACACUCUGGGGAACCUGGAGAGCUGAACCCACAUCCACGACCACAGCCAGCAGGGCCGCAGCAUGUGACUUACCCCUGUUAUUCUGAUAACAGGGAUACGGGAUUCUAACAGCCGGGCUAGUCUCAGAGCCCAGCUCUGAGCUCCCCUUUA